CCCUUAGAUGUUCUGGGCUGCACACGUGCUACACUGGCAGGUUCAGCGAGCUUCAUGCCCUGAUCUGGAAGGAAUGGGAAAUCUUUUCAAAACCUGCCGUGCUUGGGAUAGAUGUUUGCAAUUAUUCAUCUUCAACGAGGAUUGCCUUGUAAGCGCACGUCAUCAGCGUGCAUUGAAUACGACCCUGUAUUCUGUACACACCGCCCGUCGCUCCUACCGAUUGAAGUUUUCGGUGAGUUGACAGGAGGAUUUUUUUGAAACUGGUUCGCCAGUGGAUUUUAGAUCCAAAUGCCAACGAAUCGAUGGCUUUAGAGGAAGGAGAAGUCGUAACA
rnacentral:rRNA from 1 species